GGGAGAUUCCAGGUCAGACAGAACUCAGCCCCAAUUAAAGGGGACUGAGGCUUCUGAAGGGAGAACAGAGAGAGAACAAAAAGGGAUGCUGGGGAAGUGAAGAAGGGGGAACAAAAAGGGCCUGGGGUUUAUGUGGAAAUGGAAAUUACAGAAGGGGUCACUAGAGAAUUCCUGAAAACAAUUUGGUGCAAGCUGGGUUGGGACAAUGCACAUUUUGUGGUUUGGUAGCAUUGCAUUUUCUUGAGUAAAGACUUAGUGCAAGGCAGGGGUGGGGCCACCUUUAGAGACACAGCCUAGAGCAGGCGGAGCCAGCCUGAAAUGUGGUCAAGUCUCAAGCAUGGUGCCUAAGGGAGCGAUCUGUGCCUCCUGAGAGCUCACUGUUCACAGGCCCAAGCCUUCAAACUCUAGAGCAAGGCACAGGGAGCGGGAUUUUGCAAAUUAUUUUUCAAAGGAAGUCUCAGGGGCAAAGGAGAAGCCCAUUGUCUUCUCCUUUGUAUCAUUUGUAUCAUUGUCUUCUCCAUUGUAUACAUUUCUUUUGUGUCUUGUCCUCUCACAGUGUCCAUCAGAAGGCCCCUGCUGAGUAGUUGGCAGGGUGGCUGCACAUAAUGGAAAGCACAUAAGCUUGAAGCCAGACAGAUGGGAGUUCUAACCCCAGCCCUGCCACUUAUUCCCAGGUGACACUGAUGAUGUCCAAAGAGAAGGGAGGAGGAAGGAUGAAAGGAAAGACAGAGGAGGAAGGAAGAGAAGAAAGAAGAGUGGCCGGCACAAGGGCUUGGAGAUCCCUGAAGCUGUUUUCCUUUCUCCUCACCCCCACAGGGAGGGAUCCACAUCGUUGUGGGGUUUUUGUUGUUGUUGUUUUUGUUUUUGUUUUUUUGCCUCCCUUCAUCAAAGCAUUCAUUGUAGUGUAUGGUAAUUGUCUCUGAAUGUAACAGCCUCUCUUCCCUGAGGCCUGGGUCUGCUUGUUUCAUACCAUCUUCUCCUUAACACACAGUGCUUGGUAAACAAUACCUAUUAAUAAACAUUUGUUGAAUGAAUGAAUGAGUGAAUGAACGAAUACUGCACUCUUUCG
rnacentral:lncRNA from 10 species